rnacentral:rRNA from 1 species
UACGUAGGUGGCAAGCGUUGUCCGGAAUUACUGGGCGUAAAGGGCGUGUAGGCGGGGGGACAAGUCAGAUGUGAAAUCCCAGGGCUUAACUCUGGAGCUGCAUCUGAAACUGUUCCUCUUGAGUACUGGAGAGGAAAGUGGAAUUCCUAGUGUAGCGGUGAAAUGCGUAGAGAUUAGGAGGAACACCAGUGGCGAAGGCGGCUUUCUGGACAGUAACUGACGCUGAGGCGCGAAAGCGUGGGGAGCAAACAGGAUUAGAUACCCUGGUAGUCCACGCCGUAAACGAUGGAUACUAGGUGUAGGAGGUAUCGACCCCUUCUGUGCCGGAGUUAACACAAUAAGUAUCCCGCCUGGGGAGUACGGCCGCAAGGUUGAA